UGGGGAAUCUUGCGCAAUGGGCGAAAGCCUGACGCAGCGACGCCGCGUGAGUGAUGAAGGCCUUCGGGUUGUAAAGCUCUGUGGGGAGAGACGAAUAAGUGCAAGCUAAUACCUUGCAUGAUGACGGUAUCUCCUUAGCAAGCACCGGCUAACUCUGUGCCAGCAGCCGCGGUAAGACAGAGGGUGCAAACGUUGUUCGGAAUUACUGGGCGUAAAGCGAGUGUAGGCGGUUUCCUAAGUCAGGUGUGAAAGCCCCGGGCUCAACCCGGGAAGUGCACUUGAAACUGGGAGGCUAGAGUACUGGAGAGGUUGGUGGAAUUCUCGGUGUAGAGGUGAAAUUCGUAGAUAUCGAGAGGAACACCAGUGGCGAAGGCGGCCAACUGGACAGAUACUGACGCUGAGACUCGAAAGCGUGGGGAGCAAACA
rnacentral:rRNA from 1 species